rnacentral:piRNA from 1 species
UUAACAAUGGUCACCUUAAGCUCUGUC